rnacentral:rRNA from 1 species
GACGAACGCUGGCGGCGUGCUUAACACAUGCAAGUCGAACGGAAAGGCUCUGCUUUUGUGGGGUGCUCGAGUGGCGAACGGGUGAGUAACACGUGAGUAACCUGCCCUUGACUUUGGGAUAACUUCAGGAAACUGGGGCUAUUACAGGAUAGAAGCUCCUGCUGCAUGGGGGGGGUUGGAAAGUUUCGGCGGUUGGGGAUGGACUCGCGGCUUAUCAGCUUGUUGGUGGGUUGGUGGCUUACCAAGGCUUUGACGGGAAGCCGGCCUGAGAGGGUGACCGGCCACAUUGGGACUGAGAUACGGCCCAGACUCCUACGGGAGGCAGCAGUGGGGAAUAUUGCACAAUGGGCGGAAGCCUGAUGCAGCAACGCCGCGUGCGGGAUGACGGCCUUCGGGUUGUAAACCGCUUUCGCCUGUGACGAAGCGUGAGUGACGGUAAUGGGUAAAGAAGCACCGGCUAACUACGUG